rnacentral:rRNA from 1 species
UACGGAGGGGGCUAGCGUUGUUCGGAUUUAUUGGGCGUAAAGAGCUCGUAGGCGGCUUGGCAAGUCGGGUGUGAAACCUCCAGGCUCAACCUGGAGACGCCACUCGAUACUGCCAUGGCUAGAGUCCGGUAGGGGACCACGGAAUUCCUGGUGUAGCGGUGAAAUGCGCAGAUAUCAGGAGGAACACCGGUGGCGAAGGCGGUGGUCUGGGCCGGCACUGACGCUGAGGAGCGAAAGCGUGGGUAGCAAACAGG